rnacentral:rRNA from 1 species
UUGACGGGGCCCGCACAAGCGGUGGAGCAUGUGGUUUAAUCGAUGCGACGCGAAGAACCUUACCUGGGCUUGACAUCCCGGGAAUCCCUUGGAAACAAGGGAGUGCCCUUCGGGGAACCUGGAGACAGGUGCUGCAUGGCUGCCGUCAGCUCGUGUCGUGAGAUGUAGGGUUAAGUCCCGCAACGAGCGCAACCCUUGUCUUUAAUUGCCAUCAUUGAGUUGGGCACUUUAAAGAGACUGCCGGUGUUAAACCGGAGGAAGGUGGGGAUGACGUCAAGUCCUCAUGGCCUUUAUGCCCAGGGCUACACACGUGCUACAAUGGGUGGUACAAAGAGCAGCCAGCUCGCGAGAGUGAGCAAAUCUCAAAAAGCCAUCCUCAGUUCGGAUUGAAGUCUGCAACUCGACUUCAUGAAGUUGGAAUCGCUAGUAAUCGCGGAUCAGCAUGCCGCGGUGAGUACGUUCCCGGGCCUU